GAUGAACGCUGGCGGCGUGCCUAACACAUGCAAGUCGAGCGAAGCACUUACUUUAGAUUUCUUCGGAAUGACGAAGUUUGUGACUGAGCGGCGGACGGGUGAGUAACGCGUGGGCAACCUGCCCUGUACAGGGGGAUAACAGUUAGAAAUGACUGCUAAUACCGCAUAAGCCCCCAUCUUCGCAUGAAGCAUUGGGAAAAACUCCGGUGGUACAGGAUGGGCCCGCGUCUGAUUAGCUAGUUGGUAAGGUAACGGCUUACCAAGGCGACGAUCAGUAGCCGACCUGAGAGGGUGACCGGCCACAUUGGGACUGAGACACGGCCGAAACUCCUACGGGAGGCAGCAGUGGGGAAUAUUGCACAAUGGGGGAAACCCUGAUGCAGCGACGCCGCGUGAGCGAUGAAGUAUUGCGGUAUGUAAAGCUCUAUCAGCAGGGAAGAAAGUGACGGUACCUGAUGAAGAAGCCCCGGCUAACUACGUG
rnacentral:rRNA from 1 species